rnacentral:misc_RNA from 1 species
UGAUUACAACAUUCAGAAGGAGUCUACCCUUCACCUUGUCCUUCGUCUCCGUGGUGGUUUCUGAACUUUUCUUCUGGAAAUGGGAAAACUUGGCAUGUGUGGGUGGCCUUGUUUGCGGCCAUGGGAAUGAGUUUGGGAUACUUCUGUUUCUUUUGCUUUUCAAGUAUGUUGUUUCUAAAUGUUCUCUCAAGUUCGCAAUUUAGGGAGAACAGUAUUCUAUAUGAUAUGUAUAAUACUAGUGGGUUCAGAUAAAUAAAUUGGAA